CCCAGACAGCCUUCAGUCCUCGCAGGGGAGGAGGAGAGGAGACUUUCCACUUCAAGACUCGGCGCUGACUCAAGCUGCUGGCAGCAAGAGCCCCAAAAUCAAACUGAUGGCUUAGAGAGGUUCAUAGAGUAAAUCUGAAGGCAAAGCCUCCUUGCAAGUCUCACCAUCCCGGCAGGGCCAGAGGAAUGUCACAAUGCAGAGUCCCUCGGCGAGCCUGACUGGGUCUGCCUACGGAAGCACACCUGUGUUUACAAAGGGUCUACAAAACAUAAGAGCUACAAGGGGUCAAUUAGUGGUAUUUGAGUGUCGCAUUCGCGCUACACCCACCUUACAGGUUCACUGGUACAGGGAAUAUGAUCCAAUAAUCGACUCUGCUGAUUUCCGAAU